rnacentral:rRNA from 1 species
UGCCUUAGUAGCGGCGAGUGAAGCGGCAAAAGCUCAAAUUUGAAAUCUGGCACUUUCAGUGUCCGAGUUGUAAUUUGAAGAAGGUAUCUUUGGGUCUGGCUCUUGUCUAUGUUUCUUGGAACAGAACGUCACAGAGGGUGAGAAUCCCGUGCGAUGAGAUGUCCCAGACCUAUGUAAAGUUCCUUCGAAGAGUCGAGUUGUUUGGGAAUGCAGCUCUAAGUGGGUGGUAAAUUCCAUCUAAAGCUAAAUAUUGGCGAGAGACCGAUAGCGAACAAGUACAGUGAUGGAAAGAUGAAAAGAACUUUGAAAAGAGAGUGAAAAAGUACGUGAAAUUGUUGAAAGGGAAGGGCUUGAGAUCAGACUUGGUAUUUUGUAUGUUACUCUCUCGGGGGUGGCCUCUACAGUUUACCGGGCCAGCAUCAGUUUGAGCGGUAGGAUAAGUGCAAAGAAAUGUGGCACUGCUUCGGUAGUGUGUUAUAGUCUUUGUCGAUACUGCCAGCUUAGACUGAGGACUGCGGCUUCGGCCUAGGAUGUUGGCAUAAUGAUCUUAAGUCGCCCGUCUUGAACCACGGACCAA